CCAGACUCCUACGGGAGGCAGCAGUGGGGAAUUUUGGACAAUGGGCGAAAGCCUGAUCCAGCAAUGCCGCGUGUGUGAAGAAGGCCUUCGGGUUGUAAAGCACUUUUGUCCGGAAAGAAAUGGCUCUGGUUAAUACCUGGGGUCGAUGACGGUACCGGAAGAAUAAGGACCGGCUGACUACGUGCCAGCAGCCGCGGUAAUACGUAGGGUCCAAGCGUUAAUCGGAAUUACUGGGCGUAAAGCGUGCGCAGGCGGUUGUGCAAGACCGAUGUGAAAUCCCCGAGCUUAACUUGGGAAUUGCAUUGGUGACUGCACGGCUAGAGUGUGUCAGAGGGGGGUAGAAUUCCACGUGUAGCAGUGAAAUGCGUAGAGAUGUGGAGGAAUACCGAUGGCGAAGGCAGCCCCCUGGGAUAACACUGACGCUCAUGCACGAAAGCGUGGGGAGCAAACAGGAUUAGAUACCCUGGUAGUCCACGCCCUAAACGAUGUCAACUAGUUGUUGGGGAUUCAUUUCCUUAGUAACGUAGCUAACGCGUGAAGUUGACCGCCUGGGGAGUACGGUCGCAAGAUUAAAACUCAAAGGAAUUGACGGGGGCCCCGCACAAGAAGGGCGAAUUCCA
rnacentral:rRNA from 1 species